UCCGCGCCCGCCCUCAGGCGGCUCCCUCAGGAGCCCGGCCCCGUUCCCCAGCACGGGAAAUCUCCCCCCGGAGCAUGGCGGAGCUGGAUGAGGACCGGUACCGGUACCGGUGCCUCCCCGAGCCGCCUGCGCCUACACCGGCUGCUCCUGUGAGGAAAACGCGUGGAAGCUGUGCGACUGCAUCAGGAGUCGGGGGGAGCGCCCUGUGGAGGAGCUCUACGCGGUUUUCAUCUCCGACGAGAGGAGGAUGGCGAGUGGAUCCCGCUCUGGAAACAGAAGUCAGGGCACGGAGAUGAGCCUGUUGUCUGGCCGCGAACCGACAAGUGGUGCCCGAACAGGGACCUGUCAAACGGCGGCUGAAGCAGAGGGGCACCGGAACGCAGCGACCGGGGAGUCAAGAGCGAUCGAACACUAUUACAACGGUUGGUGUGUCGUCUCCGAAGACCUGAACUAAACAGUUCACCAUCUGCGUGGGCUACAGGGCAAAAGCUGCAGGCUGAUUACAGGGUGUGUCAGAAAGAAAGCGCAGAAGGAACAACUGUGCGCGUGCUGCAGCAAAGAGAAGGAGGAGUUCUCAAUUCGAUAAAGAGAACAGAGUACCAACAGGUGACCAAAACGAUAGUGCUGAAGAAGAGUUUGUGGAAAAACACGUUUCUGACAUAUGUCAAGUGAAACUUAACACUGAAAAGGAAAGCGCUAAGCUUUGUGGAUAUUCAACACCAAGAUGGGGAACUAUAGCUAAUGAAAAUCCAAGGUCAAAUGAUUCCUGGGCAUUUCAAGCAGUGACUCCUGAACGUUCUUGGGAAGAAGACCAGCAACAGACAAGGGAUGAGAACACUGUAAAAGUUCCUACAGAGACAGACUACACAGUUAUCGUGGAUCGCUCUGAGCUCAAAGUAUGUCUAAUUUCAGCUUUUUUUUAAUGCUCAAAUAGGACAUAUUCCUGCGACAUGUAAAAUUGCAAAUCAAGCCCAUUGUUAACCAAUACCAAUUAAAACAAUUAAUUGGAAGGACAUAUAGAUAGUGAAAUAAUUCAGCCUGUAAUGCACUGUGACUGUUUAGUUUCCACAGCUCGUGUAGAUUUCUGUAGGCUACCAUUUGCUUCUGGUCAUCUGUAGCUACAUACUCGCAGGCUCACACAGCUAGUGGACAGCUGUGGCAGUGGAAGAAGGUGCUGCCACUAGCUUGUCCCUGUUGCUGUGCCAGAGAUGAUCACCUCUGCAUCUUUGGUAAUAGAAAUGACUGUGUGAGAGAGAGGUGAUUGCUCCAAGCAGUCACUUUGCUAUUUACCCACCCCUGAAUUUAAAGGUAGGAUUGAGCAAACGAAUCCACCUUUGCUCUGGGCGUUUGAGCAAUCUGUUCUGCCAGCAGAGUUGUGGGCAUGGCACACGUGGGUAAAGGUAAUCACCUAAGGGUGCUUCCUUUUCCAGCUGGCACAGCUGUAUCUACAAGAUCUGCAGCCUUUUUACAGUGCCCCGCGCUGCUGCAAUGCUUCUCUAAUGAACUGCAACAGUGGCUUUGCUGUGGCAGCAGCUGUCCUACAACGAGGAUCGUGUCAUUCCCUGCUGCUUUGGGAGCAGUCGACUUGCAAUUACGACCAUGGAUGUGAUAGAUUGAUUAGUAGUAAAGAUUGUCUGAAAUUUCAGCCUUUCCUUUCUCUGAACUAUGAAAAAUUAACUCAUUUUCCCUGCUGAAAUCUCAUGGGAUAUUUAAUCUGUUCUCUGAAUUGUCACAUUUUAUUUAAUAGCAUAAGAAAAAGUAGGAUGUCACUUGUAUUGUUACUGUUCAACCUCCGAAAACAUAUAGAGCGUAUUCAAAGGAUCUUGUACUUUUUGUGUACUUUUUGCUCAUUAUAAUAUCAUUAUAAUAGCAAAACACACCUCCAUCCCAAAAGCUACCCGCCUCCAAGGUGCGACCACCCCUCACUGAGCAUGCGCCCUGAAUUUCCUAUUAUUUUAAAG